AUGGACAUGCAGGUUUUAAGAAUCAGGCUGGUGUGGCAGUUGGCUUCUGGAGAGCUGGGCAUGAUUAUAUUCAUGACUGUGGAGUGUCAGUGCAGUGGUAUUUGGGGGGGCAGACUGAGCCUGUCCCUAUGCUCCUUCUCUCCAGAGAUCUUCAUAUUGUCUUCCUCCCGUGCUGGACACGUGUGCCAAGGAACCUACCUAAAUCCAGAUCUAUGUCCUCCUCCUCUCUGCUCCACCUCAGCCUCUUCCUCCCUGCUGGACACCUGUGCCAAGGAACCUACUAAAUCCAGUGAUCUCUGCAUCCUCCUCCUCCCUGUUGGACACCUGUGCCAAGGAACCUACCUAAAUCCAGAGUCCUCUGCAUCCUCCUCCUCCUUUCUCACCCCGAGCAUCUUCCUUGUCUGCUGGACACCUGUGCCAAGGAACCUACCUCAAUCCAGAAAAAUUAAGAGCCUUACGGAGGGGGCAAGCGUUUUCCCUCUCAAAGCCUCCCGCAGCCCUCACUGCUCCCUGUCAGCACUGCUUGAAGUCAAUCACCAGGAAAAACUCCAACUCAGGUUCUGGUGUGAUGUCUUGAAGGCCAUGACCUAG
rnacentral:lncRNA from 1 species